UUCCCUUUAGAGGGUUCCUGAAAAGGCUAUGCCUUCAUACCCUUCAGCUCUGGGUCAGGUGAGGAUGCGUUCCUGUUCUUAGAGGCCAGGGCACUGGCUUGAACAGGGUCCCUCCUGCCUGGGGCCUGGACUGUGACUCCUGACCUCACACCAGAACCUGAGGUGCUGGCCUUCCCUUCUGGUACUAUGCUUUUCUGCUUUGACUUAAUCAUUUACAGCUUUAUCCACCUGUCCCCACACGAUUGGCUUGCUCUUCCUGCUGUCCCUUUGCCCUCUGCGACUGUCUCUGUAUGCCUUGGUCAACUGACUCUCUCUGGGUUUCUGUGUAUACCUCCUUCCUCUGAGUCCCUGCCCAAGCAUAAAGACCCUGAGCUGGAGCUCCUCCAGGGCCUAGCCUAGGUCUGAGCCUGAGGGACAAGGAAGGAAAGGGCAGCUGGCAGUGCCAGCGUGUUGCUGCCCGCAUGCAGGCUUCUCUCCCACAGCAUCCGCAGGAACGUGUUGUUGGGGAAAGACACAGGAACAAAGUGAAAGGUGGUGGCCUGUGGCUGAGAGGGUGGAACCAGGAGGAUGCAGGGGCUGGGAGUGUGGCUUCCCUACAGGACUGGCUCUCUAGGACGAGUGUGUGUGUGUGUGUGUGUGUGUGUGUGUGUGUAUGGGGGGUGUGAGUACUCCUACCCUUUGUCAACAGGGCGGAGCUGCCUCCCCCAUCUUACUUGGUUAAUGGAUAAACGCAACUUUGCCCAGGACAGGAGUUGGCAGGUGUAGGGACCAGGUUGCCUUAUACAGACCUUUUGUGGCUAGGUCAGACUUGAGAAUGGAGAGUAUUUGAAAAAGCUGUGGUGUCAUGGGCUUCUGGGCAGGAUGUACGUUUUUUCCAACACACACAUUCCAGUACUUCACCUGAACAGAGACUUUUGUACAACCUGCCUGGUAAUCCUGUCCUCCUACAGUGGGGUGCAGGUGAGGAUCUGAGGACCAGAGAAUUCCAGGGGCCAGCACAUGGGGAACUUGGACACAUGGGCUGUGUCCCAAGAGCGCUUAGAGCCUUGAUGGUUAGCCUCCGACCUAAUCUUGUCUCUAACUCUGCUCUCACGCUGCCUCCACCUCAGUGUUUCCCCCAGCAGAGGCGGUGCGCAGAACCCACUUCGGCUGUGGGUGUUCCCAGUGGCCAGCCUCCAUCCCUAGUCCUCUCUGCGUGGUGGUUAGAGCUCCGUGAUGAGCAGAGGUCUCUGAGCUCCCUGUCCCUAGAUUCCAGGACUUCCAGUUGCCACAGUUAAUCCUGGUUUUGAUAAGUGCCCUGCUCCUGGCCAAACAUUUUCCCUUGGUUAUCUGAUUUAGUCUCACGCCAGUCCUGGGUAGUCAUCAAUUUGUCUUGUUCUUACCAAGAAAGAAACAAGCAAGGACAUCGCACAACUGAGGCGCCUGCUCCAGAGUUGCUGACCCUGUCUCAUGAACUUGCAUCCUUAGGCAACACUGGCCUUUAACCCCAUCAAUAACUCUUUGAAGAACUGAAGGACUUUAUGUUCUCAUCAUUCCAUUCUUGAUUGAUGGAUGGCAAAGCUGAGGCCCAGAGGGAUGGGUGACUCUUGCCAAGGUCAGGUAGAAGCCAGAGCCCCAGGGAACCCUGGGUCAUUUCAGGAAGCUGGGACUCAACCUCGGUUUUUUUGUUGAGAUUCUGCCCACUCUCCUCUGCUGUCUCCUGUGCCAGGGCAUGCCCUGUGCUCUGUGAUUGUGUGUGUAGGGGGAUGGCACCUGCCUAUUUACUUGAUUGAUUUUUAUCUGCUCUUCUCCCUGUCUCUGUGUCCAAAGGUCCCUGGAAGCCACCAUAGCUCUGGGCCCAGCAGCCAGGACAGAGGACAGGGGUUGCUGGAGGCUGCCCCAACUCUCUCCCUCCCUCCUGGCCUCUAUCCUGGCCUGGUUUCAGGUCUGUACUGGGCUCUGGGUAGUGGACAGGAGGCAGACAAUGCUGCCUACAAGUCUAGGCCCAGUACCAGAAGCAGAUGUUGAACAUGGACCCCAGAGAUCAGAAGACUGAUUAGAACCUAAACACAGGCUUCCCAAAGCUGCAAGAAACAGAAAACAUUUCUCAGUCAUUCAGGGAACUAUCUGAAUAAACUAACUUCUGGUAUCUUUUUGCUGUAUUUGAGUGAGGCAUGUCCCUUCCACUCUGGGCUGUCUGGUCAUCUGCCAUUGGACCUUCCUGACUUAAGUAUCUCUGAACUCAGUGGCUGGGCCGUGGGCGAGAGAUGAAGGGCGGUCCUGGCUGUUGUGCUCUGGGUGACCUGUGCUCGGGUCUUCUGAUGCCUACUGCAUGCCUCUCCAUGUGACAGGCGGAGGACGACCCCUGGGUCCUUCCCAACGUUUUCAGACCUUGAUGGAGAGUGGGAUGACAAUUGUAAGUGGGCCCAGGGCACAGGUUUGUGAGCACGCACAGAGGCAGGGGUGAGCCUCAGAGGAACCAGCACCUAUGCCAAGAGCAGAUGUCAGAAGCUCUGGGGACUCGGAGUUAGAGCAGGGGGGAGAGAACUCUUACUGUGUAUGUAUGGCUGAGCCUCUGGCUGCAGGAACCUGGGUAGUGGGGAAGUCUGCUGACUUCCAGGUCAGGAGUCCUCUCUCUCCUUUGGAGAAAGUCUAGGUAUCCCCAUCUGGCCCUGACUCACUGUCUAUCUGUCCCAUGCCAUAGGCACCUGGAGGACAGUCUCUCAGCCAGUGUCCAGAGGUCCCCAUCUCAUGAGCCUUUUCCUGUGUCCUGUGACGUGUGGAUUCACUCAGAUCUCUGAGGACCUUUCUCACCCUUAAUAGUCUGAGACUCAUUGGGCAGUGGUGGCGUACGUCUUUAAUCCCAGCUCUCAGGAGGCAGAGGCAGGUGGAUCUCCAUGAGUUCGAGGCCAGCCUGGUCUACAGAGGUAGGACUCAUCGAUCCAAUGGAGCAGAUAUGGACAAAUGGAGCCUUGGAGUUGGAGUUCACUUGUGCAAGAUCAAAUAGUUAGAAGUGGCUGAAAGUCCUUCGUCCUUCCCCCAACACACACACAAAGUUGGCUUCUCUCUGU